AAAAUUGUAUUGAUUUGAACAGUUCUGACAUAUCCGAUGUGGUGUUUUCACCCAUAAACAUGGAUCUUUGCAAUUCUAUCAAUUAAUCGUCCUUUUUUAAGGCCACUCAUCAUCAUCAUUCGGAUGAUGUCCCGUCCCACAAAAUCGACGGUCUGAUCACCGUAUAUAGGUACCGCGUGUGCACUUGAGAUAUCUCGGUGCCCAUUUCAUAGAAAUCAGUGAAGCGGUCGUGUCGCGUCGCCGUUCCAAGAAGAGUUCAUUUUGCCUCUGUCGCAACUGAGAGUCCAGCGUGUGUCGCCAGCCACUGGGCCCAAGCGAUGAGAUAAUCUGCUUAUUUGAACCGUUUAUAUUAUCUUUAAUACCAUAAAUAAGCUAUUUUUUCGUAAUCAUAUUUCAGUGAUGAUACUAACUUUUGAUUUUUAGAUUUGUAUUUGAACCGUUAAUAAUUUUCUUUUCUUUGGUUUGAAUUCAUCUAUGACUAAAGAUUUUCUGUUCAGAGUAAUUUUAUUAGUGUAAUCUGUAUACCAUAUAUUCCGAGGCAUGGAUAGUUGUGAUCAUUAAAUCACUUAUUAUGUGGGCCCCAGUGGCGGCAACAGACUGGGUACUGAAACACGACAGAUGAUUAAAAAACAAAAAACUCAGUUAUGAUACGAAUAAGAUCAUGGAAGCUUGCUGAGCCCACAUGCGAGUACGAGGAAACCCUCUACACGCUGCAGGAUGGCCCAGCGUAGCAUGCAGCCGUGCCAGUGAAAGGUAGAAGCUACGUGGCUCGAUCUUGGGCACCCAUCAUAUAUACCCAGAAUGACCGUCGAUCAGACCGUCCAAAUCGUUAAGAUCAUCAUGGAUGCAUCAUGGACAAAAAAACACACUGAUCAGUAGAUCCUAACUGUCCAUUUUGUGGGCAUUAGUGAUCAAUUUCAAUAGGUAAAAUUAAGCGACUGAGAUCAUCGGAUCAGAUUGAUAUUGGUCCAUGCUCAACCCACAAUAUUGUCCAACAUUUGGACGAUCUAGAUUGAAAUACAUUUAUACUACAUGUACUUUAGUUGGGAAACACAUCAUGCUCGGCUCAUCUUGAAGAACACACCAUUGUAUGGUACUCUUACGAAGCAGAGUGGAUGAUGCUUGCUCUCACUCGUUGUACACUUGGCAUAACUUACAAGAAAUCGAUUCCACGCCGUCGAACUUGUGGACCCCGUGAUUGAUGGGCAUGAUCCAGUAAUCCAUUUAAAGCAACUAAGUGGCCCAUUUUGGAAGAAUCCUCCAAAGCUUGGGAAUUUCUAUUGAAAAUUAGGUGAGGCUAUGAUGUAUCACAAACGAUCGAUUGUAAAAGGAAUAGUUAUACUUGCUUUGUUAGUUAGCACGAAUGUGAAA